UACGUAGGGCGCAAGCGUUGUCCGGAAUUAUUGGGCGUAAAGAGCUCGUAGGCGGUCUGUCACGUCUGCCGUGAAAACCCGAGGCUUAACCUCGUGGCUUGCGGUGGAUACGGGCAGACUAGAGGUAGGUAGGGGAGAACGGAAUUCCCGGUGUAGCGGUGGAAUGCGCAGAUAUCAGGAGGAACACCGGUGGCGAAGGCGGGUCUCUGGGCAGUAACUGACGCUGAGGAGCGAAAGCGUGGGGGAGCGAACAGG
rnacentral:rRNA from 1 species